CCUACGGGAGGCAGCAGUAGGGAAUCUUCCACAAUGGGCGAAAGCCUGAUCGAGCAACGCCGCGUGGGUGAAGAAGGUCUUCGGAUCGUAAAACCCUGUUGUUAGAGAAGAAAGUGCGUGAGAGUAACUGUUCACGUUUCGACGGUAUCUAACCAGAAAGCCACGGCUAACUACGUGCCAGCAGCCGCGGUAAUACGUAGGUGGCAAGCGUUAUCCGGAUUUAUUGGGCGUAAAGGGAACGCAGGCGGUCUUUUAAGUCUGAUGUGAAAGCCUUCGGCUUAACCGGAGUAGGGCAUUGGAAACUGGGAGACUUGAGUGCAGAAGAGGAGAGUGGAACUCCAUGUGUAGCGGUGAAAUGCGUAGAUAUAUGGAAGAACACCAGUGGCGAAAGCGGCUCUCUGGUCUGUAACUGACGCUGAGGUUCGAAAGCGUGGGUAGCAAACAGGAUUAGAUACCCCAGUAGUC
rnacentral:rRNA from 1 species